GGUUCGGUAGCUCAGCUGGAUAGAGCAUCCGCCUUCUAAGCGGACGGUCGUGAGUUCAAGUCUCACCCGAAUCA
rnacentral:tRNA from 5 species